UACAGAGGGUGCAAGCGUUAUCCGGAAUGAUUGGGCGUAAAGCGUCCGUAGGUGGCUUUUUGAGUCCGUCGUCAAAUCCCAGGGCUCAACCCUGGACAGGCGGUGGAAACUACCAAGCUGGAGUACGGUAGGGGCAGAGGGAAUUUCCGGUGGAGCGGUGAAAUGCAUUGAGAUCGGGAAGAACACCAACAGCGAAAGCGCGCUGCUGGGCCGACACUGACACUGAGAGACGAAAGCUAGGGGAGCAAAUGGG
rnacentral:rRNA from 1 species